CCUACGGGAGGCAGCAGUGGGGGAUAUUGCACAAUGGGGGGAACCCUGAUGCAGCGACGCCGCGUGGGUGAAGGAGUGCUUCGGCAUGUAAAGCUCUAUCGGCAGGGAAGAAGCAAGACGGUACCGGACGAAGAAGCCCCGGCUAACUACGUGCCAGCAGCCGCGGUAAGACGUAGGGGGCGAGCGUUAACCGGAUUCACUGGGUGUAAAGGGAGCGGAGACGGCCAAGCAAGCCAGGGGUGAAAGCCCGGGGCCCAACCCCGGGACUGCCCUUGGAACUGCAUGGCUGGAGUGCGGGAGGGGCAGGCGGAAUUCCUGGUGUAGCGGUGACAUGCGUAGAUAUCAGGAGGAACACCGGCGGCGAAGGCGGCCUGCUGUACCGCGACUGACGUUGAGGCUCGAACGCGUGGGGAGCGAACAGGAUUAGAUACCCCUGUAGUC
rnacentral:rRNA from 1 species